rnacentral:lncRNA from 1 species
UUUUGGAUCCUUUGGGAUUCCCCCACGGGAGUAGUCAACUGGGCAGCAGGACACAGUCUAGAGUCUAGUAAACUGGAGCUGAUCUAAGCACCAGAACCUGAGCUGAUGGCACAACUGCCCAGUGCCCAGAUGCCGGCUCCCCGAACACAGCCCGACCUCAUCCUGGUUCAUCCAGUGCUGGCCCUGUCUGGACGAGCCCCAAGCAUCCUCUGCUCGGUGCCCUGGGACGCCUGUGAACUCCUGGCCACGGCUAUGUGGUGGAAGACACGGAUUCUGUGGGGGGUUUUCCUUAUCUCUAGGACUCGCCCACCUGCUCCCAUGCAAAUCCUCAUUUUAACUCUGGAUCCCAGUGAAGGAGAGGUGUGUUGUAAGAAGAGGAAACCUGGACAGACAGGAAGAAACCGAGUGAGGAUGACGACAGCCACCUGCAAGCCAGGAGGAGAGGCCUCAGGAGAAACCAGCCCUGGGACACCCUAAUCACAGGCGUCCGCCCCCACAACGGUGAGAGAAUGUUUCUGAUAAAACCACCCAGUUUUUGAUACUUUCUUAUGGCAGCCCCAGCAAACAAAAACUGGCUCCAUGGCCUCCCCUGUCCUGGCCCCUCAGUCUCUACGACCUGGGCACCUUGCAAGCACAAGAAAGGGACCCUCCAGUUCGGGGUGCCCACACACCUUGCUUUCUUCCUUGAGCUCUGGUCACCAAGGAGGCAAAGGGGAGAGAGGCUUCCAAGGGGCCCAUCAUUUGGAAAGGGAAAACCAGCUUCUGUUGCCGUGGCAACUCCACUGGGAUGCUCUGCUAUUUGCACAUUUUGAAAUUGGAGGUGGGUAGUGAGAAGGGAAAAAGGAAAGAAAAAUUGAGGGAGAUGAGAGUAUCCAGGGCAAAAGAAAGGAGAGAAAAGCAAAUGAAGUUUAGGAAAAAUCCAGCUUCGGACAGGUGACCCUGACAGUGCUUAAUGACCUCAGAUGAGUCCCAGGGCCGCGGGGACUUCCCCAUUAAGUCAUGGUGGCUCCAGCCAAUGUCAGCCCAGGUCCCCCACUGUCAGAGAGGAAACAGAGGCUCGAAGAUGAGAAGUGCCCUGCACAAGGUCACCUUGUGACUUGGAGGAUUCUCCAGGUAAAAGCAGCCGUAUUGGGGGAAGGCCUCUAUUCUUGUAAUGAACCAAACGUUUGUGCCAACCCCCCAAAUUCAUAUGUUGAAGUCCUAACUCCCAACGUGAUGGUUUUAUGAGGUGGGGUCUUUGGGAGGUAAGCAAGUCAUAAGUGUAGAACCUUCAUAAAUAGGAUUAAUGUCCUUAUAAAAGGGACCCCCAGGACCUGGAUAUGGUGGUGUGAACCUGCAAUCCCAGUGCUUUGGGAGGCUGAGGUGGGAGGAUCCCUUGAGGCCACAAGUUUGAGACCAGCCUGGGCAACAUGGCAAGACCCCAUCUAUACAGAAAAUACAAAAAUUAGCCAGGUAUGGUGGUGCACACCUGUAGUCCCAGCUACUUGGGAGGCUGAGGUGGGAGGAUGGCUUGAGCCCAGGAGUUUGAGGCUGCAGUGAGCCAUGAUUGCACCACUGCACUCCAGCCUGGAAAACGGAGUGAGAGUGUCUUAAAGAAAAAGGGGCCCUAGAGAGUUCUCUGGUACCCUGGUUUCAGACUUCUAGCCUCCAGAAUGGUGAGAAAUAAAUAUGUAUUUUUUACGAAAAAAAAAAAAAAAAAAAA